AGGAAGGAACUGCUAAUUGGUGACACCGA
rnacentral:piRNA from 1 species